UAUUAAAUAUAUUUGUAAAAAUGUUAAUAGUUCAAAGUUUAUUAUUGUGGAUAUAUUCUAAUAUUUUUUUAUAAAUAUACUUGUCAUAAAUAAUUAUGGAAACUAAAAUGUUUAUGUAUAAAACCAUUGCUAAGUGGAAAUAUCUCUUUAUUUUUAUAUUUUACACGUGUAUCAUACUUUAUUGGAAUUUAUGAGGAAACAAUCAGAUUAAUUAAAAAUUAAUUUAAAAUUUUCAUCAGAAAUAAGAAAUUAACAAUUAAUUAAUUUUAAUUAUAUGAUUAAAUAGUAUAGCAGUGCUUUAUUAGAAUAUCAUUUUAUUUUCCUUAAAACGUUCUAUUAAGUUUCUUAUUUAUUAAUAUUUAAAUUAAUUUGAAAUAAUUUUUUUAGUUGAUUAAAAAGGCGAAUAAUUUAUUUCUAAUGGUAUUAAAAAGUCAAAAUUAUUUGAAUUUAAACUGGUAAUAUACAGUUAUAAAGCCUUGAGUGAAUUCUUUACUCAAUUUUUGUAGAUGUAAAGUUAAUAUUUGAAAUUAUCAUUGAAAAGUUCAGUAGACAGGGUUUGAAGUUAUCUUUCACUGAAAAAUGUUACUCUUACUUAUUCAUAAACUACUUAACAAAAAUAUACGAGGUUGAUAUGUAUACUACCUAAAAAUAUGAAGAAAUAUUAUCACUCAAUAUUUAUUCUAAUAUCAGUUUUGGAUCAAAAAUUUGCUCUUGUAUCAAAAAUCGACAAACUUCUAAUAACGAAGAUGUUUGAGUAGAAACUUUUGCUAUAAUUUAGAUAUAUUAUUUAAUAGAUAUAAUAAUGAGAUAAAUUACACAAUCAAAAAUAAUCAAGUACUCACUAUCAGUAUUUCUUCCUGUGCUUGUUCGAUAUAAUAAGGAAUUAUAAAAAAUUUCUAUGUAGCAAUUGCAGUUAAUUUUAAUAUCAGAAUAUAAUGGACUACAUUGUUUUAUAAAAUACACUUAAAAUAAUAAAUUAUAUAGCUUAAUUAAA